AUUGAACGCUGGCGGAAUGCUUUACACAUGCAAGUCGAACGGCAGCACGGACUUCGGUCUGGUGGCGAGUGGCGAACGGGUGAGUAAUGUAUCGGAACGUGCCCAGUCGUGGGGGAUAACGUAGUGAAAAUUACGCUAAUACCGCAUACGAUCUAUGGAUGAAAGCGGGGGAUCGCAAGACCUUGCGCGAUUGGAGCGGCCGAUAUCAGAUUAGGUAGUUGGUGGGGUAAAGGCUCACCAAGCCAACGAUCUGUAGCUGGUCUGAGAGGACGACCAGCCACACUGGAACUGAGACACGGUCCAGACUCCUACGGGAGGCAGCAGUGGGGAAUUUUGGACAAUGGACGCAAGUCUGAUCCAGCCAUUCCGCGUGCAGGAUGAAGGCCCUCGGGUUGUAAACUGCUUUUGUACAGAACGAAAAGGUUUCUACUAAUACUAGGAGCUCAUGACGGUACUGUAAGAAUAAGCACCGGCUAACUACGUGCCAGCCGCCGCAGUAA
rnacentral:rRNA from 1 species